rnacentral:rRNA from 1 species
AUUGAACGCUGGCGGCAUGCCUUACACAUGCAAGUCGAACGGCAGCACGGGAGCAAUCCUGGUGGCGAGUGGCGAACGGGUGAGUAAUAUAUCGGAACGUGCCCAGUCGUGGGGGAUAACGUAGCGAAAGCUACGCUAAUACCGCAUACGAUCUACGGAUGAAAGCGGGGGAUCGCAAGACCUCGCGCGAUUGGAGCGGCCGAUAUCAGAUUAGCUAGUUGGUGGGGUAAAAGCUCACCAAGGCGACGAUCUGUAGCUGGUCUGAGAGGACGACCAGCCACACUGGAACUGAGACACGGUCCAGACUCCUACGGGAGGCAGCAGUGGGGAAUUUUGGACAAUGGGCGCAAGCCUGAUCCAGCAAUGCCGCGUGCAGGAUGAAGGCCUUCGGGUUGUAAACUGCUUUAGUCUAGGAAAAAGGGGUGCGAGGUUAAUACCCUCGUGCUUUGAUGGUACCGGAAGAAUAAGCACCGGCUAACUACGUG